AAUAGAUACCCUGGUAGUCCAUGCCGUAAACGUUGGGCGCUAGAUGUGGGGACCAUUCCACGGUUUCCGUGUCGCAGCUAACGCAUUAAGCGCCCCGCCUGGGGAGUACGGCCGCAAGGCUAAAACUCAAAGGAAUUGACGGGGGCCCGCACAAGCGGCGGAGCAUGCGGAUUAAUUCGAUGCAACGCGAAGAACCUUACCAAGGCUUGACAUAUACGAGAACGCUCUAGAAAUAGAGAACUCUUUGGACACUCGUAUACAGGUGGUGCAUGGUUGUCGUCAGCUCGUGUCGUGAGAUGUUGGGUUAAGUCCCGCAACGAGCGCAACCCUCGUUCUAUGUUGCCAGCGGUUCGGCCGGGAACUCAUAGGAGACUGCUGGGGUCAACUCGGAGGAAGGUGGGGAUGACGUCAAAUCAUCAUGCCCCUUAUGUCUUGGGUCUUCACGCAUGCUACAAUGGCCGGUACAAAGGGCUGCAAUACCGUAAGGUGGAGCGAAUACCCAAAAAGCCGGUCUCAGUUCGGAUUGAGGU
rnacentral:rRNA from 1 species